rnacentral:rRNA from 1 species
UACGUUCCCGGGCCUUGUACACACCGCCCGUCACACCACGAAAGUUGGCAACACCCGAAGCCGGUGGCCUAACCGCAAGGAAGGAGCCGUCGAAGGUGGGGUCGGUGAUUGGGGU